UUGGAGCAAAAUACUUUUGACAUGUCUCAUUUGUUUUUCACUAAAUAGAUCCCUGAAUUUGAUGCAGAAUGUAAUUACAAGGAUUCUUCUAAGAGGAAGGCAGGAGGGUCAGAGUCAGAGAAGAUGUGGCCUGGAAGCAGAGAUUGGCAUCAUUCAGAGUCACCAACCAAGGAAUGCAGACAGCAUCUGAAAGCUGGAAAAGGCAAGGAAACAGACUGGCCCCCAAAGCCUCCAGAACAAAUGCAACCCUGCUGAUCUACUGGGGACUUCUGACGUUCAGAGCUGCAAGGUAUUCUAGACACUCAUGCACAUGCCAGGGCAGGAUACAAGCUCAGAAAAGACCUGAAAAGACCCAAAGUUCUCACCUCAGACUGACCUUCAGGAUCCCAGCAAGAAGGAAGUGAAGGACAUUAAGACUUGGACACUCUAAAGCAACACUAUAUACAGAAAAUUAGAAAUUUCUGCUUCAAAUGAUUUGAGUAGACAUUUCUCCGAAGAGGACAUUCAAAUGGCUAAGAAGCACAUGAAAGUCUGCUCAACUUUGUUCAUCAUUAGGAAAAUGGAAAUCAAAACUACAUGAGAAA